rnacentral:tRNA from 1 species
GAGAGAUGGCCGAGCGGUUGAUGGCGCUGGUCUUGAAAACCAGUGAUGUCGAAAGGCACCGGGGGUUCGAAUCCCUCUCUCUCC